rnacentral:rRNA from 1 species
CACGUAGGGCGCAAGCGUUGUCCGGAAUUAUUGGGCGUAAAGAGCUCGUAGGCGGUCUGUUGCGUCUGCUGUGAAAACUCGGGGCUUAACCCCGAGCCUGCAGUGGAUACGGGCAGACUAGAGGUAGGUAGGGGAGAAUGGAAUUCCCGGUGUAGCGGUGAAAUGCGCAGAUAUCGGGAGGAACACCGGUGGCGAAGGCGACUCUUUGGCCUGUAACUGACGCUGAGGCGCGAAAGCGUGGGGAGCAAACAGGG